GUAUACUCUUCUCAAAGGAACUCGUUUUUUAAUCGACACUACUCGCUAAAUCUCACUUUGUUCUUACCGCCUAUAUACCGCCGCUUCAAAAUUAACUUUAAAACCUCUAAUUAUAUUAACCCUUAAAAAAUCAGGUCAAGGUGUAGCUUAUAAUAAAGACAAAAUAAGUUACCAAUAAAACCAAUUUAUAGAACAAUUAUUCUAACUAAAUUAUAAAUAGGAUUUGUAAUCAAUAUUAAAACACUCAUCUAAUAUGAAAUAGUCUAUAUAU
rnacentral:rRNA from 1 species